rnacentral:rRNA from 1 species
UCCGUAGGCGGGCAGCUAAGUCAGUGGUGAAAGUCUGCAGCUCAACUGUAGAAUUGCCAUUGAUACUGGUUGUCUUGAAUUAUUAUGAAGUGGUUAGAAUAUGUAGUGUAGCGGUGAAAUGCAUAGAUAUUACAUAGAAUACCAAUUGCGAGGGCAGAUCACUAAUAAUAUAUUGACGCUGAUGGAUGAAAGCGUGGGGAGCGAACAGGAUUAGAUACCCUGGUAGUCC